GUGCCUCAAUCUAAUGAGUAAGGAAAUUAUUGGGCCUUGGUGACUCUUGGCAAUGUCCCAGUAGGGGCGAACGUAUUUUUUGAGGGUACAGGUCGUCCCUUUGAGUUGUGCGCCUACUUUGCACGCGACUCAGGUGAAGCGAUCUGCCUC